rnacentral:rRNA from 1 species
AUUGAACGCUGGCGGAAUGCUUUACACAUGCAAGUCGAACGGCAGCACGGACUUCGGUCUGGUGGCGAGUGGCGAACGGGUGAGUAAUGUAUCGGAACGUGCCCAGUCGUGGGGGAUAACGUAGUGAAAAUUACGCUAAUACCGCAUACGAUCUAUGGAUGAAAGCGGGGGAUCGCAAGACCUCGCGCGAUUGGAGCGGCCGAUAUCAGAUUAGGUAGUUGGUGGGGUAAAGGCCCACCAAGCCAACGAUCUGUAGCUGGUCUGAGGGGACGACCGGCCAAACUGAAACUGAGACACGGUCCAGACUCCUACGGGAGGCAGCAGUGGGGAAGUUUGGACAAUGGGCGAAAGCCUGCUCCAGCCAUUCCGCGUGCAGGAUGGAGGCCCUCGGGUUGUAAGCUGCUUUUGUACAGAACGAAAAGGUUUCUACUAAUACUAGGAGCUCAUGACGGUACUGUAAGAAUAAGCACCGGCUAACUACGUGCCAGCCGCCGCCGUAA